UACGUAGGGUGCAAGCGUUGUCCGGAAUUAUUGGGCGUAAAGAGCUCGUAGGCGGUUUGUCGCGUCUGCUGUGAAAACGCGAGGCUCAACCUCGCGCCUGCAGUGGGUACGGGCAGACUAGAGUGUGGUAGGGGAGAUUGGAAUUCCUGGUGUAGCGGUGGAAUGCGCAGAUAUCAGGAGGAACACCGAUGGCGAAGGCAGAUCUCUGGGCCGUAACUGACGCUGAGGAGCGAAAGCAUGGGGAGCGAACAGG
rnacentral:rRNA from 1 species